rnacentral:rRNA from 1 species
ACUCCUACGGGAGGCAGCAGUGGGGAAUAUUGCACAAUGGGCGCAAGCCUGAUGCAGCAACGCCGCGUGAGUGAUGAAGGCCUUCGGGUCGUAAAGCUCUGUCCUCAAGGAAGAAUAAAUGACGGUACUUGAGGAGGAACGCCCGGCUAACUACGUGCCAGCAGCCGCGGUAAUACGUAGGGGCAAGCGUUAUCCGGAAUCACUGGGCGUAAAGGGUGCGUAGGCGGUUUUUCAAGUCAGAAGUGAAAGGCUAUGGCUCAACCAUAGUAAGCUUUUGAAACUGUUAAACUUGAGUGCAGGAGAGGAAAGUGGAAUUCCUAGUGUAGAGGUGAAAUUCGUAGAUAUUAGGAGGAACACCAGUGGCGAAGGCGACUUUCUGGACUGUAACUGACGCUGAGGCACGAAAGCGUGGGGAGCGAACAGGAUUAGAUACCCUGGUAGACUGUCA